UACGAAGGGGGCUAGCGUUGUUCGGAAUCACUGGGCGUAAAGAGCGUGUAGGCGGCCAGGUAGGUCUGCUGUGAAAACUCGAGGCUCAACCUCGAGACGUCGGCGGAAACCAUUUGGCUAGAGUCCGGAAGAGGAGAGUGGAAUUCCUGGUGUAGCGGUGAAAUGCGCAGAUAUCAGGAAGAACACCAAUGGCGAAAGCAGCUCUCUGGGACGGUACUGACGCUGAGACGCGAAAGCGUGGGGAGCGAACAGG
rnacentral:rRNA from 1 species